UACGUAGGGGGCUAGCGUUGUCCGGAUUUAUUGGGCGUAAAGAGCGUGUAGGCGGCCAGGUAGGUCUGCUGUGAAACUCGAGGCUCAACCUCGAGACGUCGGCGGAAACCAUCUGGCUAGAGUCCGGAAGAGGAGAGUGGAAUUCCUGGUGUAGCGGUGAAAUGCGCAGAUAUCAGGAAGAACACCCGUGGCGAAGGCGGCUCUCUGGGACGGUACUGACGCUGAGACGCGAAAGCGUGGGGAGCGAACAGGAUUAGAACCUCG
rnacentral:rRNA from 1 species